rnacentral:rRNA from 1 species
CGGUGGAUGAUGUGGAUUAAUUCGAUGCAACGCGAAAACCUUAACCUACCCUUGACAUGUCCGGAAUCCCGAAGAGAUUUGGGAGUGCUCGCAAGAGAACCGGAACACAGGUGCUGCAUGGCUGUCGUCAGCUCGUGUCGUGAGAUGUUGGGUUAAGUCCCGCAACGAGCGCAACCCUUGUCAUUAGUUGCCAUCAUUUGGUUGGGCACUCUAAUGAGACUGCCGGUGACAAACCGGAGGAAGGUGGGGAUGACGUCAAGUCCUCAUGGCCCUUAUGGGUAGGGCUUCACACGUCAUACAAUGGUCGGUACAGAGGGUUGCCAACCCGCGAGGGGGAGCUAAUCCCACAAAGCCGAUCGUAGUCCGGAUCGCAGUCUGCAACUCGACUGCGUGAAGUCGGAAUCGCUAGUAAUCGUGGAUCAGCAUGUCACGGUGAAUACGUUCCCGGGUCUU